rnacentral:misc_RNA from 1 species
GAGGAACUGAAAUAUUGUAGUACUCUUGCUGGAAAUAAAAUAUAACGAGUAAACGUUACUAUCACAUUAAGGAGACAUGUAGGCUGGAGUAAAAACUUCUGUACUUCAUAAUUAGGAUUAAAAAAUGCUUACAAACUCAGGGAUGUUUAAGUAGGUGCACUGGCAUUUAUUUUUCAGGAUACAACUGAAGAGCAGGGGUAUGUUACAAGUUUUCUUGUGCUGUGGCAUGCAUACAUGGAAGGUCUUUCUUCAUGUUGAGGAAGAACCACUUUUUAUGAUUUGAACUUUUCAAAUAGGUUUGUUGGUUUCCCUCCCAUAUUAGUUUCUGUUUUUGAUGGAUGAACAAGUCAAAAACUGUUCCAAUAGAAGUAACAUGAGAAGAAAUUCUGAACUGGAAUGGUGAGGGAUGGAUCAGAGUCGAAGGUUUAAGUCAAGCUUGAGCGAUUCUGAUGGUGGCUCUGGUGGUUGUGGAUCCAAGCGAAAGCUCCCUGGCCACAUUAAAUCCAUUGCAUCCUCAAGCAUAAAGGGCAUCCAUGCCAUUCCAAACCCUGUAUUGGUUUCGUUAAAUCUUGCUGCAACAGUAGUUCCUUCUCUACUUUGCUUGUGCACAAGCGCAUGGGGCCUGACCCCCAGUGAUCUGCUCAUUGGGGUAUUUAAUGGAAAACCCAUCAUCGUCAUCAUCCUCUGGGACUGGAAUCUUCUAGCUGCACCUCUUUCUCUCUUGUGAGCAUUCUGAUGACCCCCUAGAGCCUGUGAGCUGUAGAACUUCCUCCUGCAAAAGUUACAUGAGAAAACCUUGCUAGAAGUAGGUCUUGAGUGUGGAUCAUAGUCUCCUGCUGUUGAGACUGAAUUGCCACCUAAGCUCAGAUUCAACCACUCUCCUCCUAGAUUACAAUCUUCAAUUCUUUCAUUGCUAUUAUUGCUGAUUCUUAAUUCAUCCUGGUGUUUGUCGGUUGCUGUUUCAAUGGCUUCAUCCCUGACCAUCAUAUCUCCACGAAUCUCAAACAUUUUUUUUGGUGUAUGUAGACGAAAGUUGAAUAGGUAGAAAAGGUGGAAUUGUUGUGAGAGACUCUCUGAAGGGUUAGAUGAAAGUGGAAGACAGGAAAUAAAUGGGGAUAGAUAUGAUAAUGGAAAGAAAGUUAGACAUGAUUUUUUUUGUUUUUUUUUAUCAGGUUUCAAUUCAGCGACCCCACUGGGCGAUGCUUGGUGUUCCUGGAGCUGAUGCUUAUGUCAUCGUUACUGUUGCACUCGUCAAGCUUAGGAUUCCCCACUUUCAUCUUUCUCCUUUUUUCUUUCCUCUUCUCAAAUCAAAUCAACUUUGCAUGGUUCUCUUUUGGAGUAAUUCAAGGUUGACAAUCUAGCAGGUGACAUUGAUGGUCAAAAUCAUAAUCCUGCAAUUAGCCAAUAUCUGCCUGUCAUUUAGUGUGUUCUUAUCCUCUACUGAAACAAAUCUAAUGCUAAUCUUUUAUGUCUUCAGUGUGCUGGCUAUAAGAUACUCUACUUUUUAGCUGAUUGAUAGAUACACACAUACAGAUAGAUAUACUGGCUAUAAGAUACUCUGCUCUUUAGCUGAUUGAUAGAUAC